rnacentral:pre_miRNA from 1 species
CCUUGUAAAUAUAAAAUCUUUUGUUUUGUUACUUGGUGCUUUAUUUUAGUCCUUGUAAAUCCAUUCAAAUUAAAAUUGGUCCUGAUAUAUAUUCAUUUUAGUUUUUAUUUUGAGGGAUUAAAAUCAAAUAUUAUACAUGUUACAAGGACCAAAUCCAAUAUAAAUCAAUUUUGCAAGGACUAAAAUAAAACAACAAAGAAUGAAAGCAAAACAUUAUAUAUUUGCAAGGA